CUAGAAGAUCGAUGAACCUUGUAAGGUAAUAUUUAAUUCUUUGUUUCAUAUUUUGAUAUUAAAAUAUGUAUUGGUUGUUUUAAAUUAUUUAAAUGCAUUUAAUUGCUUCUAUGAUUAUGAGCCCGUAAUUGUGUGAGUUUUGGUGGUUUGUUUCAUUUAUUCGAAAGAAGAGGAAUAAAUUCAACAGGGUAUAAAUCAUCAUAGGGUUCAAUAGGGAAUAGAAAUAUACCCCUAUGCUUUGCGUGAAUCUCUAAAUACUCACAAAACUACAUGCAUUUUAGUAUAUUUGUAUUCGUCAUAGAGAUAUAGGCUGGUGAUGUAUGAGAAUAGGUACAAUUCAUCUCAAGAGAAAGUGUUAGAUAGAUUUAGGAGUAUUGAUUCUUCAAAAUUUCAUCGUAUUGUCAAAGUGUGGAAUUAAGGUUAAAUUGAACAUUACUUGAAAAUUCGUGAUCCUAAUAUAUCUCACAUUCAUUGAAUAUAUUUAACUUACGUCUUAAACAUCAAAUUGCAUUUUAGUUAAUUUAAAAAUUGUGUUGCAUAGCAUACUAUCCAAUUCAUAAUAUUGGGACUUUAGCUUCGAUUUAGGUCAAGAUAAAUACAAUUGAACUACUCAAUCUCCGUGGGACGAUAUUCGGACUCUAAAAAUUCACUUUAUUACUUGUUAACGAACCGUACACUUGCAGUGAUUUAAAUCGAAAGAAAAUAUUUCAUGAACAAGUUUUUGACGUCGUUGUCGGAGAUUGAGUUUAGUUUGAUCUUAUUUUUCUAGGCACUAAUUCGAACUUGAAUUUUAGUUUCUCUUUUCGUUUAUUUUGUCUUUGUUUUGUUUUUAAAUUCGAUCUAUCUCUUUAGUGUCUAAGUGCAACUCCUGUUUUUCUCUCAGAUUUGCAUGCUAAGAUCGACUGAAGGAGAAUUGAUUCUAGCCGAUCCUGAAAUUGAGCUCACUUUUCAUCGACUACAAAAAGAGAAUCAAGAAGCAAAAUUGCAAAUGACUAAUGAACUAAACAAUCCUAUUGUCCCAGCCAAUGAAGGAGAGGCAGUGAACGAAGAAAGUGAGAUUUUAGGAGAUUUCUUGACUCCUUAAGUAAUUCAAAGCCAGUCCAGUAUAGUGUAUCCACCAUUUGAGCAGCCUAAUUUCCAAUUAAAGACUAGCGUAAUAUAGCUGUUCCAGAAUGGACACCAAUUUUAUGGUAGAGUUGAAAAAAAUCCACAUACACACAUAUCUCGAUUCUUGGAUAUGUGUCAACACUUCAGGUAUCAAGGAAUUUCAGACGAUGCUAUUAGGCUAAGGUUAUUUCCACAUACACUAUGGGAUAAGGCACUUGAAUAGUUGGAUUCACUUCCCAUUGCAAGCAUCAUUACUUGGAACAAGAUGGCUCAUAAAUUCUGCACGAAGUUCUUCUCACCAGCCAAGAUAGCGAAAUUGAGACAUGAGCUAUCGAUAUUCAGUCAAGGAGAAUCUAAAUCAUUUGACGAAACUUGGAAUAGAUUCAAAAACAUGCUCCGAAAGUGCCCUCAACAUGAGUUCGACAAAAAGACCCAAAUUCGAUUCUUCUAUACAGGGUUACUCCAGUACUUCAAAAGCAUGAUAGACUCAUCAUUAGAUGACUCAAUUUCGAC
rnacentral:lncRNA from 1 species